UUAAAAAAGUCUUGUCUGUAGACGCCUGUCUCUGUAUUAAACAAAAGUAAAACGAGAUUGGAAAAAGUGAUCAUAAUUACCUCUGUGAUUAAGGUGAAGGGAGUAGCAGCAAAAAGGGAAGUAGCAAAAAAAUUGAAUGGGACAGGGCAAGGUGAUCUUCA